rnacentral:rRNA from 1 species
GACGAACGCUGGCGGCGUGCUUAACACAUGCAAGUCGAACGGUAAGGCCCUUCGGGGUACACGAGUGGCGAACGGGUGAGUAACGCGUGGGUGAUCUGCCCUGCACUUCGGGAUAAGCCUGGGAAACUGGGUCUAAUACCGGAUAGGACCCUGGGAUGCAUGUCCUGGGGUGGAAAGCUUUUGCGGUGUGGGAUGGGCCCGCGGCCUAUCAGCUUGUUGGUGGGGUGAUGGCCUACCAAGGCGAGUACGGGUAGCCGGCCUGAGGGGGUGACCGGCCACACUGGGACUGAGAUACGGCCCAGACUCCUACGGGAGGCAGCAGUGGGGGAUAUUACACAAUGGGCGCAAGCCUGAUGCAGCGACGCCGCUUGAGGGAUGACGGCCUUCGGGUUGUAAACCUCUUUCAGCACCGACGAAGCGCAAGUGACGGUAGGUGCAGAAGAAGGACCGGCCAACUACGUGCCAGCCGCCGCAGUAA